UUGCUGCGGGAUAGCCCAGAGAAAUUUGGAUUAAUACCGCAUAGAUAUUGAGAUCGCAUGGUUUUAAUAUUAAAGGUUACGGCAGAAGAUGAGUAUGCGUUCUAUUAGCUAGAUGGUGUGGUAACGGCAUACCAUGGCAACGAUAGAUAGGGGCCCUGAGAGGGGGAUCCCCCACACUGGUACUGAGACACGGACCAGACUCCUACGGGAGGCAGCAGUGAGGAAUAUUGGACAAUGGGCGAGAGCCUGAUCCAGCCAUGCCGCGUGCAGGAAGACGGCCCUAUGGGUUGUAAACUGCUUUUAUACAGGAAGAAACACCUCUACGUGUAGAGGCUUGACGGUACUGUAAGAAUAAGGAUCGGCUAACUCCGUGCCAGCAGCCGCGGUAAUACGGAGGAUCCAAGCGUUAUCCGGAAUCAUUGGGUUUAAAGGGUCCGUAGGUGGAUAAUUAAGUCAGGGGUGAAAGUCUGCAGCUCAACUGUAGAAUUGCCCUUGAUACUGGUUGUCUUGAGUCAUUAUGAAGUAGUUAGAAUAUGUAGUGUAGCGGUGAAAUGCAUAGAUAUUACAUAGAAUACCAAUUGCGAAGGCAGAUUACUAAUAAUGUACUGACACUGAUGGACGAAAGCGUGGGGAGCGAACAGGAUUAGAUACCCUGGUAGUCCACGCCGUAAACGAUGGAUACUAGCUGUUCGGAUUU
rnacentral:rRNA from 1 species